UACGUAGGGGGCAAGCGUUGUCCGGAUUUAUUGGGCGUAAAGAGCGUGUAGGCGGCUGGGUAGGUCCGUUGUGAAAACUCGAGGCUCAACCUCGAGACGCCGAUGGAAACCCUCCAGCUAGAGUCCGGAAGAGGAGAGUGGAAUUCCUGGUGUAGCGGUGAAAUGCGCAGAUAUCAGGAAGAACACCCCGUGGCUAAGGCGGCUCUCUAGUACGGUACUGACGCUGAGACGCGAAAGCGUGGGGAGCGAACAGG
rnacentral:rRNA from 1 species